GUAGGUGAACCUGCGGAAGGAUCAUUUGAGUUCUUUCUCCUUUCUAUUUGGGGAUACAAUUCAUCUAUAUAAAAACAAAGUCAACUGUGUGAAAGAGUCAUUGAUACACCCAACACAAAAAGAGUCGAGUGCAGCUUUGAUAAUGCGUGUGCGUUCCCAUCUCUACCUACAUUGUGUGGAGGUGGGAGCGUGCUGCUGCUGCCUCUUCUCACUUUUUGUUGUUGGUGUACUCAUUAUUUUGCUGCACUAUUGUGCGAUGGAUAAAAACUACAACACAUAAACCUUGUUAAAAAGCAUACAAACAAAACAAAUAAAACCAAAAUGAACAGUUUUAACGGUGGAUCUCUAGGCUCGC
rnacentral:misc_RNA from 1 species